GUUCCCAUUUUAGUACCGCUUUUUUGCUUUCCAGAACAGGCGGCUAUGCUAAUGGGAUAGAGAAAAAUUGCUAUGGUCUGAAAGGGAAGAUGAUUUAUUGCAGCUUCCCUCAUAUGAAGUAGCAGUACAUAUUUUG
rnacentral:snoRNA from 1 species